GGGGAAUUUUCCGCAAUGGGUGAAAGCCUGACGGAGCAACGCCGCGUGAGGGAUGAAGGCCUCUGGGCUGUAAACCUCUUUUCUCAAGGAAGAAGAUCUGACGGUACUUGAGGAAUAAGCCACGGCUAAUUCCGUGCCAGCAGCCGCGGUAAUACGGGAGUGGCAAGCGUUGUCCGGAAUUAUUGGGCGUAAAGCGUCCGCAGGCGGCCUCGUAAGUCUGUCGUUAAAGCGUGGAGCUUAACUCCAUUUAAGCGAUGGAAACUGCGAGGCUAGAGUGUGGUAGGGGCAGAGGGAAUUCCCGGUGUAGCGGUGAAAUGCGUAGAUAUCGGGAAGAACACCAGUGGCGAAGGCGCUCUGCUGGGCCAUAACUGACGCUCAUGGACGAAAGCCAGGGGAGCGAAAGGGAUUAGAUACCCCUGUAGUCA
rnacentral:rRNA from 1 species